rnacentral:tRNA from 1 species
CAAAGAGUAGCUUAAUACAAAGCAUUCAGCUUACAACUGAAAAACGUUAAUAUAACCUAACCUCUUUGC